rnacentral:rRNA from 1 species
UACGUAGGGUGCGAGCGUUGUCCGGAAUCACUGGGCGUAAAGGGCGCGUAGGCGGCUUGAUAAGCGUGCGGUGAAAGCCCGGGGCUCAACCCCGGGUCGGCCGUGCGAACUGUCGAGCUGGAGCACUGUAGAGGCAGGUGGAAUUCCGGGUGUAGCGGUGGAAUGCGUAGAGAUCCGGAAGAACACCGGUGGCGAAGGCGGCCUGCUGGGCAGUGGCUGACGCUGAGGCGCGACAGCGUGGGGAGCAAACAGG